rnacentral:misc_RNA from 1 species
GAGAUUCAGAAUCCUACAUUCCUUGAUGGGCAGCUAUGGGUGAAUCCAGAGGCUGUUUCUGAUGAG